rnacentral:rRNA from 1 species
CCUACGGGUGGCAGCAGUGGGGAAUAUUGGACAAUGGGCGGGAGCCUGAACCAGCCAAGCCGCGUGAAGGAAGAAGGCGCCAAGCGUCGUAAACUUCUUUUGUCGGGGAACAAAGGGCGCCACGUGUGGCGUUGUGAGUGUACCCGAAGAAAAAGCAUCGGCUAACUCCGUGCCAGCAGCCGCGGUAAUACGGAGGAUUCAAGCGUUAUCCGGAUUUAUUGGGUUUAAAGGGUGCGUAGGCGGUUCGAUAAGUUAGAGGUGAAAUCCCGGGGCUCAACUCCGGCACUGCCUCUGAUACUGUCGGGCUAGAGUUUAGUUGCGGUAGGCGGAAUGUAUGGUGUAGCGGUGAAAUGCAUAGAGAUCAUACAGAACACCGAUUGCGAAGGCAGCUUACCAAACUACGACUGACGUUGAGGCACGAAAGCGUGGGGAGCAAACAGGAUUAGAUACCCCUGUAGUC